UCAGGACGAACGCUGGCGGCGUGCUUAACACAUGCAAGUCGAGCGAUGAAGCUUCCUUCGGGAAGUGGAUUAGCGGCGGACGGGUGAGUAACACGUGGGCAACCUGCCUCAAAGAGGGGAAUAGCCCUCCGAAAGGAGGAUUAAUACCGCAUAAAGUUAGAGUUUCGCAUGAAACUUUAACCAAAGGAGCAAUCCGCUUUGAGAUGGGCCCGCGUCCCAUUAGCUAGUUGGUAAGGUAAUGGCUUACCAAGGCAACGAUGGGUAGCCGACCUGAGAGGGUGAUCGGCCACAUUGGAACUGAGACACGGUCCAGACUCCUACGGGAGGCAGCAGUGGGGAAUAUUGCGCAAUGGGGGAAACCCUGACGCAGCAACGCCGCGUGGGUGAUGAAGGUUUUCGGAUCGUAAA
rnacentral:rRNA from 1 species